UGGGAAAGAAAGAGAGAGACGGUCAAGGGUUAUCGUGUAGAAAGUGACAGCGCGACGACGGCGGCGGGUUAAGCAAAUUUUUUUUCUUCCCUCUUUCCGAAGUUCGAAACAUUACCGCGUGCAUUGUGCGUGCGUGUAUAUCGGAGUAAAGAGCCAUUGGCGCGACAAUUAUUGAGACGGUGAUAUAAAAAUGGCGACCAUGGUUACGGCGAUGAAAGAAUCUCUUGACAAGGCUUUGCGAGACGAAAAUAAGCCAUGGACGAAAUUGUUUGCUACGGCUGAAGCAAAAACCGGUUUUGACCGGUUGUACAUUGUUAUAGGAAUUUUGGCUCUUUUGACUCUUUACCUGCUGGUCGGGGUCGGUCAACAAUUAAUUUGCAACAUCAUAGGUUUCGUUUAUCCUGCUUAUUGCUCUAUGAAAGCAUUGGAAUCUCGCAACAAAGACGACGACACCAAGUGGCUCACUUACUGGGUCGUUUUCGCUGUUUUCACAAUCGUCGAAUUCUUUUCUGAAUACAUUGUGUGCUGGUGUCCCAUGUAUUGGCUUCUCAAGUGUAUUCUCCAUGUCUGGCUCAUGGCUCCAAUAGAAUACAACGGUUCACUGAUUCUGUACCAUCGUUUCAUUCGUCCUCAAUUUGUCAAGUAUGAACCAAAUAUUGACAAUCUGCUUUCAAAUGCUCGUGAUGCCGCUGUAAAAGCCGCAUCGGAUGCGAUAUUGAACCAGAAAAAAGAUUGAUCACGAGACGAAUGAAGAGCCGAGAUUCGACGUGAGAACAACAACUAUCUUCGAAGCUUGGAUCUGAGAUAAGGGGAGGAGAGUUUCGGUGCUUGUUCGCAAUGGAAUGAUGAAAUCAAGCGGAAUGUUAACCUGACGAACAUCUCAAAUGUGUGAACUUUUUCUAGAAAAAUUCCCUAGUCCUACUAUUUGAAUCGACGCAUCGGGGACAGACUUGAGGAAAAUCACUGGUGUAGCCAUUGUCAGAGAGAGAUUGAGCGACCGGAGAAUCUAAAUUCGUCAUUGAAUUCCUGGAGCAAUCAAUUCUCAUUUGGGAAGGAUACAUGGAACAUUUAUAUAAUGUAUAGUUUUUGUUGACUCGCUCAAUUCUCGUGACUCCGAUUUACCAUUCGCACAAAUUCGUCUUUUUGAGCUUACUCACUCAUCGAGAUUGUGAUAUCUUGACUUUGUGUAAACGUAAUUCCGUAUAUUAAAGCCUCGUCGAAUCUCGAUGGGUUAACGCAAAA
rnacentral:misc_RNA from 1 species